CUCAUUUAUUAUUAUUUAAUAAUUGUUAUAAUACUAUGAGAAGAUUUUGCCCAUCUGAUUACCAUAAAUAGUCUGUUAGUAAGCAACGUAAAACAUAAUUUAGCAUAUUUAUUUAUUUAUUUGCAUAGUUAUUUAAUAAGGUGAUUUAACCAAAAGGUAAAAGGUGAUACCAUCUAUGUGUACUUACGUCUGGUGUAUCAGAAUAGUGAAGAAUCUUAGAGAUACUUAGUUCAAAGUCUUGAUGCUAGGGAUUCAAACCCAAGAUCUUCACACUGAACUACAUCCCCAGACUAAUUUUUAUUUUAAAUUUUGAGACAGGGUCUUGCUAAGUCCCAAAGUGCCUGGGCUAGUCUUGAUCCUCUUACUUUAGCCUUCUAGAGUGUUUGGGAUUAUUAUAUGUCUGUGCUACCCAUGCCUAACUAGUUCAAACUCUUUAUUUUACAAAUGAUAGAAGAGUUUGAAUGAUUGAAUUUGAGAUUAGUGCAUCUAUUUAAUUGAAAAUCACUCAUUUGACAAACUGGAAAGAGUAACACCACUGAUUCUAGUAAUGGCAAGGCAUACUAUUUGAGUCAGUUCUUCCUCAGAUGCCAAGUGAAAUAUUUGGACAGAAUAUGUAAAAGCCCUAAAGGCAUUGAAGAAUGACAACAGCAUAGCAGAACUACUGGUGGGUACCAGAGAAUUAAUGUUGAUAUUUGAAGUUUCUCUUGCUUUCAAGGCCUUUGGUGAUCAGAAAGCUGUGAGCCUCAGUUUUACUGCUGGCUGGAAUGAAGGAGAAAGCAAUCGAAGCUCAGGCCCUCCCUCUGUCAGUUUCAUACCUGUUCUCCACAUUAAGCUAGGACUCUGUGUGUAGAGGUAAACCCUUUGGGUAAGGAUGAACUGGAGUACAGCUGUCUACUUUUAUGAGAUUACAGGGAUAAUUUGCCUUAGUCCUGAGCAGAAACUAAGGGUGUAAGACCCAGAGAUGACCCACAGAGGCAGAAAGAUUUACUGUAUAACACAACAGCAUGUGAGGGCAUUGAAAUCUCUACUUUAGCCAGCCUCUGCGAGGUAGGGUGGCAUCUUGUAGCCCAACGGGCAUCAUGGCAAAUUUUUAGAAAAAGCGUAAUUAAUGGGGUACAUAACACACAUGCUUACUUUUCAAAAGUAUUGCUAUUGAUGAAUUAUUAAUUUUAAUUUUAUGAGCUUUAUUAUAUUAAGCAAUGUAUAUGUAACAGGAAAAGAGAAUGUAAUAAAAUAUUAAAUUUUCAAUAUGGAAUGAGAGUGUAGAAUAAAGAUCGACAGUUUCAACAGCAAUCAUGUACCUACUUACAAGAUCUAAAAAAUAGCAGCAGAAAGUAAUUCCUACGUGAAUUCCAAUGAAAAUUCAAACAAAAUUCUACCAUCCUGUCUUUGCUUCAGUUAUCAUACCCAAGGCCAUCUUUAACACGGUUCAUGCACAGGUCUCACUUACACUGGCAGCAUGUGGGCUUAGCUUUCUUCUCAUGUUUUGCAACCUAUACUUGUCACUUCUUGUUUUUCUCUUUUGUCAGAAAUUUCCUAUUAUAGUAUACAGUGUCCACUUAGCAGGAAAAUAAAAUGUCAGUAAAAUAAAAUAUCAACUAUAUACUGAGUGUUUAGAAUAAAGAUCAACUUUUUUUUUUUUUAUUGGUCCUGGGGAUCGAACUCAUGACCGCCCGCUUGCAAGGCAGGCGCUUAUGCGCUGAACUGAAUCCCCAGCCCCAAAUAUCAACAUUUUCAACAUCAACUGUUUACCUGCUAACAAGAUCUAAAAAGCAACAGUGGAAAUAAAUUCCUAUGUGAACUACAAUGAAAACACAUACCAAACUCUACUGUAGAAAUCGUCUUUACUUCAGUUAUUACACCAGAGGCAGUUUUCAAAUACAUGAGAACAGUGUGUUCCAUACACAAGUAUCACACUGAUAGCACAUGCGUUUUGUAUUUCUGUCUUCUUUGGUAGGACCUAUCUGACAUCGUGUUGGUCUUCCUGUUUCCCUUGGAGUUUCUUGUGAUGUUUUAUCUGUCCACCAGUGUGCUCUUUGGAGUUCUUUGGGCAUAUACGUAUCAUUCUUCCUUUGUUGUAAUUGAUUAUCAUUUCCAGUCCAGUCCUCUAAGAAAAUUUCUCUGUGAUUUUUUUGUGCUUUGUCAUUUUCUUUGUAAACUAUGAAAUUAUUUAGCUUCACAUAUAUAGGAUGGAGUAAAUGCAACUACUGGCCAAUAUUUUGUGUUUGGAGUAAUAUCAUAGUUGCUUAUAACUCAAUCAACAGCGUCUACUCUGCCUUUCAUUUUGUUGUAAAAUGUGAGCCUUCUGGCUUCAUUUGUGUUAAAGAUUCACUUUCUAUCUUUGUUUGUUUAUUAGUUUCAAGAGCUAGGCUUGAACUAGUACAGGCUGACUUUGAACUCACAGGAUCCUCCUGGGGGGCGUGUACACCAUGCCUGGCCUCACUAUUAAUCAUAUCCUCAUGGUGUAAUGUUGACAGUAUCAUUACUACUUUUGUUUUUCUUUGACAUAUAGGAGACCAAUGUUAAGUCUAUCUGAAAUCCAAAGAUUGUUCUAUACAUUAUUCUAUCAUGAAUUUGCAACAUUUUUUUCAGGAAUCUCAGCUUUGUUCUUGAAAUAGUUCCUGUGCUGGGCAGCUGAUAUGCUUUUGGCAAAUACAUUAAUGGGUAACUGGUAAACCAAUUUUCAAAUGUGACAUUUGCGUUACUUUUUGAAGUAUAUCUAAGAAGUCCAUUCACAAACUCAUCCUGUUUAUUACUACAUGAAGAAACAUCUGAGUUCCAAGAACAAUUUCCAAAUGCAUGGUAUAAAAUGUUUUUAUAUCUAUCAUGGCCUUUAUUUUUACACUGUAUUUGGGAAGUUUACUUGGCGUAUAUUGCCAAAAAACUUCAACAAUCGCAAAAUGAUGCAAGUUGUUCUUCAAUUCAGGUCAAAACAAAACUUGCAACCAGUGGGUGAAUAGAAGUCAGAUUGUUGGAUUUUUUUCAGUCUUUUUUUUUUUUAGUACCAGGAAUCAAACUCACAACCUCAUGCUUGUCAGGCAGGUAUUUAUGGUACUGAGAUAAAUCCUGGCCCUUUUUUCUCCAUUCUUGGCAGGUCUGUUUGUGGUCAAAGCAUAAGAAAUUUGGAAGGAAACCAAGUGUUUUGAGUGUCAUUCUAAAAAUCCCAACACCAUGUUGCUUUUCCACAUAUUCUUUAGAUUGUGAUAAUUAGAAUGAUAAUGUGCUGCUAUGAAGGCUUGCUUUUAGUUUGGAUAGUAAAGUGUCAUGUAUUUUUGAGUAUUAUUAUUGAUGCAUAUUGAAUGUUUUCUUGUAUUUCAUUAUUAGUGUAUUUCAAACAUCUUGUAGCAUAUUGAACACUACUAACAAUUUCAACAUUGAAUUACAGAAUGUGUUGGCAUUCUGUGCAGUAGGAUCCCUGGCAAGAACCUAAUAACAUUUUUGACCUUGUUCUAGCACUGGAUCAGUCAGGUAUACAUGACCAUUUUGUAGCAUUUUGACUAGUCAAAUAUUUAUUUAUGUUUCUAUUUUCUUCCUCAUUUGAAUUAAGAUCUUCAUCCUGCACUUCUCUGUCUGCCAUAAAUCUGUCUGUCCUAUCUGUCAUAUGUUGCUGGUCUCUUUGGCUUACAUGAUCUGAGUCAUUAGUGGUAGCCAAGUCACUUUCACCUUUACCCUAAAGUUAUAAAAGUGGAUUUUCAUGAGACACUGUACUAAACUGGGCUGAUUCUUCAAGAAAAAUAAAUAGAAAACAUUUAAUUAAAAAAAGGUUAUACACCAGGCAUAAUGGCUCUCACCUAUAAUCCCAGCACUGCAGAGGCUGAGGCAGGAGGAUUGCUGUGAGUUUGAGGCCAGCCUGAACUCCAUAGCAAAACCCUGUCUCAAAAAAAAAAUAAAUAAAAAACAAAACAAACAAACAAAAAAAUGAAAUCAAAACCAAAAUAAAACCCACAAAAUUAACAGCACAGAACAUAGGUAAAACUUACCCAUUUGCAGUUGACACACAUGCAUAUACCUUGCCAUUCAUAAUGUUGUGUGAACAUAAGGAUUGCUUUCUAUAUUCCUCCAGUGCAGCUACUGAGAUGCACAUUAUGCUAAGCACAUAUUUUCAUUUGAAAAGUAUGGUAUGGGUGUCUAUGACCCUGUAUGAGAAAUUGAAAUCAGGGCGGGGAGAGAAAGUUGGCAGGUUUAAAUUUCAAUUGUUUUAGUGAGCUGGUUUGAACCUAGGUUGCAAGUUAAGCUGUUAGGCAGAGCUUCAGGAUAAUAAUUUUGUCUUUUUUUAUACUAAAAGAUAGUAAAAGAUAAUAAAAAAAUUAAAAAAUUAAGAGAGGAAUGUUGGUGACAGGGAAAGGAAGAUUGGAAAGUGUCUUGCUUGUUCUCUGGUUACUUCCUGCUGUCUGGGGUGCUAUCUAGGUUUGUAUUUCUUCCCAUCACGAGGGAUUUGUUGGUGUCUGAGUUUUUCAGUAGAAGGGUGUCAUUCACCUGGUUGGGGAAGCUUUUGGAGUGCUGUUUGGAUGAAGUACAUGACGGUAUAGAAAAGGAAUGGUCCCACUGGUCCUGGAUCUUGAUUAGUGUUAUAACUCGUGCCCCGGUAUGAAAUCCAAGGAAACAAGAGACCGAAAAUUUAGGUGGCAAAGGCUUUAUUUCCAGGCCUGGUGACAAGUCUCUGGGACCAAUUUGGAGACUGUGUCCCAGAGACUGAAGGGAGGACUUUAAAAAGAGGCUGGAGAAAAAGGGUGGGGGGAGAAACAAAAAAACCUGCAGAGCCAUCAAACUUGUUGACCCAAGUCUGGAAACUGUAUUGCUGUCCACUUAGCUCUGACAAUCUCGGGAGUUCCUGGUGUUUCUCAAAUUACUCCCGUCCUACAGACUGACAUUAUCUCGGAGUGGCACAUCUGCAGCAAUAUUUGGAGAAGAAAGUGGACAGUUAAUUAUCCCAGGACAGCUUGUUUUCGCUAGUGGGUGCGAAGGGGUCAAGAGUUACAAGAAGCUGAAACUUAAGUUUUACAAAGAUCUGAUAUCUAACUCAUUUGAUGCAUACAGAACAAAAGGAAAGCACCGAUUGGGGUUUGGGCCAUAGUAUUUCCCGGUAAUUUCUUUGAAGCUAAACAGUUCUUAAAAUUGGGGUAGGCUCAUUUUAUGACAGAUCAUCACUGGGUCGGGAAGAGGUCACCAGAAAUCCAAAUUCUUUAUGGCCUAGAAAGAUAGGUGAGGGGAGAGGGAGGCAAUAAGGCGCCUUACAGAACAGAAAACGGCGGUUAUGUGUCAAGGUCAGGGUAAAGGGUUAAACUCAUACGCAAAUCUCUCUGCACACAAGCAGGUUACUUUAAACAAGUGUAAAUUAAUGGGCCAUUCUAGUAUUCUUUAGCUCUUUAGCGGAGAAUAGAGGCGCGUAACAGUGAUUAACAACCCUUGUUAGCUUGUUUUAGCACAACUUCUGUAGUUUGUAGAGGGCAACAAUGGUUAACAUAUCAAUUAGGUGAGAUUCUUGCAAUCCUUUACAGAGGAGAGUAUUGCUCAACAUAUCAAUUAGGUCACUUAACAUAUCAGUUAGGGAAAAAGGAUAAAAAAACUACAUUUAGUAAGCCACAUUGCAGGUUUGCUAUAAUACACAUAUAAUGAAGCUAUUUUCUUAAAGUACAACAAUUAGGUGUUGUGAAAUUUUAUUGAGGUUCUCCUGCAGGUCCUGUGAUAAGCUUCAGUAGAAUAUCAUAGAACUGGUCUGUCCUCCCACCCUAGAGGGCAUCACUGUGGAUACUCAUGCUAUUUGAGUGACUUCCCUUUUUGGGUGGCUGUGGUCUGUGAAGGGGACCGGGAGGGCUGGUUGUUGGAGGCAGUGUUGAUAUUGGGGAAUAGACUAACGCACAUGUUCCUGUCCAGUUAGUGAGCAGGCACAGAUAGGAAUCCUGACUGCCAAGGAAAAAGAUUCUUUUUUUUUUUUUGUCUUUUUCCUUUUUAUCGGUACCGGGAUCGAACUCAAGACGGCCUGCUUGCAAGGCAGGCGCUUAUGCCACUGAGCUAAAUCUCCAGCCCCUAAGGAAAAAGAUUCUUGAUUAGAAUAGGCAAGUCAUAAGGUAUAGGGAUAAAAGGUGUUGGAAAGUGUAGGUUCCCUAACUAGAAAUGUAGUGCACAUCUGUAAUCCCAGCACUGCAACACAUGGGAGGCUGAGGCAGGAGGAUCACUGCAAGUUUGAGGCGAGGCCAGUGAAUUUAAGGCCAGUCUCAAUUGCAUGGUGAGAUCCUGUCUCAAAAAGACAAAACAAAACAAAAAAACCCCAAAAUAUAGGUUCCCUGAAUGAAGGACUUGGCUCUCAUUCCACCAAGAUGGAACCAGCCAAGGAGGCCCCUAUUAUAUAUUGAAUUAAUGUAGUUAUUGAAGGGUGAGAUGUUAAUGAGAUCCCAUAGAAAAGGUUAGAGGGCUUAUCAGUAAUUAGAUGUGGGGAAAAGACUGACAUAGUGGUUGCUCUGGAAAACCAGUUGGGUUGGGUGUACUUUUCAAUUUGCCUCAGGUGAGAAAAGGUAAGAUAAAACUGAUACUCUGAAGGGACUGUUAAGUGUUGGCUUAUGGUCUACACAAAGGGAGGCCUAUAGAAAAGGGGAGUGUCAAGGGUGAUGGGACUAAUAAUUGGGUGGGUGGUUGUAGAGAAUUUAGAGAAGUUAGUGAAAUAUUUCUGAAAGAGUUUGCCAAGGCUGUUGACUGUGAUGUAGCCCUUUGAGAGUAAGGAGUGUAGGAAGUCUAAUACAAAUACUUAUUUUUUAGGAUUGUUUCUAUUUUCUAAUUUUUACAAAUUUUAUUGUGUCUAGAAAAUUACAGUAUCAUAGCAUGUUGUUCAUCAGCGUUAAUUUUCAAGAACAUUACACAUUUUCAUCUUUAAAUUGUAAUGAGCUUUUAGAAGGAAGGUCAUGGAGACCUCAACAGACUGCCAACUGAAAGCCCAAAUUUAUUUAUUUUAAUGAAUUAAUUAUAAUUUGUAAUUGGUCAUUUGUAAUGUAAUCUUAUUAAAAUCAUUAGCAGCCAAGAAUGACUUCAGUAGUGAUUCAUAUACCUGCUGGAAGAAUUCUGCAGAAGAAAUUUUAAUUCUACUCCUAAAAACUACAAACAGAUUUUACAGAAAAAGAUAAGAAAGAAAAUUUCCUAGAAAAGUUUUCUGCCUGGAGUCAAGAUAGUAGACCAAGGGAUCAUCACAAUGCCAAAUUUUAUGCUUGAACUAUAUCAGGGUAUAUAUCUUGAAUGUUACAAUUAAGAUAUUAAGGUCACUAUUCAUUGAUAAAUUUGACAUACAAAUUUCUAAACUAUAGGGCUCUUGAAUCUUAAGUACAGAGAGAGCAGCAGUGGGCUAGGAGUGUAGCUCAGUGGCAGAGCAUUUGUCUAGCAUGUUCAAGACUUUGGGUUUUGUCUCUACUAGGGAGAAAGCAAGAGAGAGGCAGAGAAGAGAGAGAGAGAGAGAGACAGACACAGAGAGAUCAUUUCAGAAUCAGGACAUCGAGGGAAACUAUAUCAUGUAAUGCAGCCUAAGAUCCCUUCCUCCACUGUUUCGUUAUUUAUUGCUCCAUAAAGUCACCCCCAAAUUUAAUGAUUUUUAAGACAAUGAGGAACUUAUUGCUUACAAUUUUAUAAGUGACUGCACCCAGCUAAACAAUUCUUCUAUACUAUAGGAUGCUGGCCAGGGGGUUAUCUGCGGGUUCACAUGGAUUGGAACAUCGAAAAUGAAUACUCAUAUACCCAAUGCCUCAUGGGUUCCACUGGGAAGCUAGGCUCCGCUGGGGGGCUGAAAUAACUGAAUUUUUCUCUUUGUCUCUCUUUUUCUUUGUCGGUCUGUCUCAGAGCUGCCUUCUCUGUGAUUGGCCUUUCCUUUUGGCCUUCCUAUGACUUCUCUAGACCCUGCAGAUUUCUUACAUGACAUCUCAGGCCACCAAAAGUGAACAUGAAUAACCUUCUAAGAAUUCUUAAGUACCAGGAAAAUAGAGUAUCAAUAAAGUAAAGUAUUAAAUAUUUAUUUAAUGUUUAUAAUAAAUGUCAACAUUUUCUUGUUUUUUUAUUUUUUUAUUAAAGAAAGACGAAACAAAACCGAAAACGUGCAGAAAUCGUAUAUACUUUCAAAGAAAAGAAAUAAACAGUAAUAAAUCACUAGUUGAUAUAUACAUAUUGUCCCCCCACAAAUAGUUGUUCAAGAUACACAAGUGGAACAUAUAAAUGGAAAUUCAACCAGGGAGACUGCAAACAGUUCUGUUCAACUAUCCAACAAAAACUAAGUAAUAUGGCUAUCAAUCCUAUACACUUAGACAUGUAUGCAUUUAUCCGUAUCUUCAUUUAUGUUGAGGCCUAACAAAACUUACUAGAUUAAAAUCCUUCUGAACAAAGAUUAAUAAUAUUGCUGGAUUUCACAUCAUACACUCUGGAAUCAGCACUGAGUACUGUAGUGCCCUUUCUUUCCUUCAAAGUAUUUGUGCAUUUCAUCAUGUGUCAUAAGAUUAGUUCUCAUAAACUGUUUAUAGGUUUUAUGCAAGCAUGAGUCUUUUUUUAAAUUUUAUUUAAGGAGAAAAGAAAAAAAAAAGCAGAGAAAGGGUACAAGUUAUACAGAUUUACAGAAAAAAAAUAAACAGUAGGAAAUCAGUAGUUAAUGGAUUACAUAUUGUCAUCUUAGAAAUAAUUGUUCAAGUCACAAAAUUAAAGUUUGUAAAGUGGACAUUCCAACAAUGAUACUGCAAACAGUUCUGUUCAAUGAUCCAAUAAAACUCUGUGAUAUCAUUUUCUAUCUUAUACACUUAAAUAUAGAUGCAGUUAUAUAGUUUAGAGCACUUUCUUUUCCUCUCUUUUGUAUCAUGACUAUUACACAUUUUGGGUUUCAUUGCUCCCACGGUUCUUAUUACUUUUUUGGAAUAGAGUAAAACCAAAUGUGACAUAACGGAACAUAAUCAGUCAAGUCAAAAGGGUGGACAUAAUAGAUAAUGUAAAAACAUAAUACAAGGUGAUCAACAAUGGUUACCAUAAUGCCUCCUGCUAUCUCUAAUAGAAUUGCCUAUAUCAUUAGUUAUAAUACAAUUGAACAAAACAGUAAAGAAUAAAACCGACAAAACCAAAACAUUGGAGACAUUGUAGGUCUUCAAAAGUAGAUAAAAGUCAACGAGAAUGGGCGUUAUAAUGAAUCUCUUUAUCUUCACAGCUGAUGCCUAAGCUUUCGAACCUGAUACUAUCCAGCAAAACAGAAUAGGGGAACAUCAGUCAAAAACAAGAUGGUGAGAGUAAUACAGGGCUUUAAAUCGAGAUAAUGGAAAGUCAAAGUGGUUACUAUAAUAUAUCCUGCUAUUUUUUUUCCUUUAAUUAAAAGGAUAAAAAUAAAAAAGUAAAUAAUGGAGUGGAGAUUGAGAUAAAAGAGGGCAUAACAGCGAAACAGCGCAGAUCAAAACAUAACCAUUUAAGCAGAAUAGUGUUUCACCACCAGAUAAUCCUGACUUAAAAGUAGUUACCAUAUUGUCUCUUUCCUUGAAAUCCUUGAGUACAACUUCGUAUACUGUAGCAUUAAGUAUAUCAAAACAAUGUAAAACCAUUUAAGAGAAUGACAGCAUUACAGAGUAUUUAGAAUCGACUAACAGAAAAUGAACAAUGGUUUCUGUAUAAUCUCCUUGUCUUUAAAAGGUUUUUGCUUAUACUAUCGUACAUAAUAAAAUCCAAUAAGAUACAACCUAUUUAGACGAUUUUAGACAGAAGAACAAAAGCUAGAUGAGACUUCAAAACAAGAUGAUACUAAAUCAGUAUUACCUAUUAAGACGUCAUUUUCUCCAAAAUAGCUGUUCCUAUCAUCCAAUCUUCUCUGCCUCAUUUCUGUUGAGCUCUUGUUCUCUGCUCCAUUCGUUGUGGCCUCCCCGCCACUAUUUCUGAAUUCUUUGUAUUUUUCUUUUUUUAGAAUAUCCUGCAAUACUCUCUGUAGAGUUGAAUUGGUGGUUGCAAAUUCCCCCAGUUCCUCUUUAUCCUGGAAGCACCUUGUUUUUCCAUCAAUUUCCAGGGACAGUUGUGCAGGAUAUAUCAAUCUUGGCUGGAGGUUAUUAUCUUUCAAAGCUUGAAUUAUUUCCCCCCACACUCUUCGUGAUUUGAUGGUUUGUGCCGAGAAAUCUGCUGUAAUUCUGAUGGGUGUUCCCUUGUAAGUGGUCUGUUUCUUUUCUCUGACAGCUUUUAAUAUUCUGUUCUUGUAUGAGUUUCUGGAAUUUUUAUUAUUAUAUGCCUGGGUGUUGCUCUGUUUGGGUUGUAGGUAGCUGGUACCUGUAUGCCUCAUACAUCUGAGUAUCUUUACCUUUUGCUAAAUUAGGAAAAUUCUCCUGGAUUAUUUCUGUGAGUAGCUUUUGUAGUUCACUUGUUUGUGUCCCUACUUCUUCUUUUAUGUUCUUAAUCCUUAAGUUAUGGAUCCUCUUAUCAUCUUCUUGUCUUUGUAUUAUUGCUGUUUGUUUCUUUGUUAUUUUUAAGUUUUUCAUUUCAUUCUCCCAUAUUACAAGUCUGCCCUCCAGUUCAGAUAGUCUGUCCUUAGUUUCUUUCAAGCUGUUAUGCCAGUCUUAGAUAGACUUCUUAGUAUCUUGGUAGUCCCUUUGAACCUGCUUCACAUAUUGUGUGCUUUCUGUAUUUUCUCCAUCAAACAAUUCUCUCCUCUUUUUCUGUUCUUCCAUUCCACCAUCUGUUUUUUCUUGGGUGGUACUUAGCAUUUCUCCAACUAUUCUGCAUACUUCUAGCUUCAGGUCAUUGAUAACUUUAUUCAUGAAUUGAUUCUAUGAGGCUCUCUAUAUGGCACUUUAUGUCUAUUGGUGCAGUGUCCGCUAUUGCCUGUUUCUCAGAAUUGGGGGCCAAGGAGCCUUUCUUGUUGCUGCCUUUUCCCAUAUUCUCUGUUCCUUAUAUAUGCAAGCUUAUAUAGGAGACCCAGCUUCUCUCCCUGUCAGCCACAGCCUGAUCGAAUUGUGCCGGUUAGGUGUUCCCGCCCACCACAGCGCACCAGGGAGUUACGGACCAGGCAGCCUAUGCGGGGCCCGCCCCUCCCGGCCACUGUCAGGCUCUGGGAUCUGGGUUGGGCCAGCCUACCAGGUCCGCCAGCAGCAUCACGCAGGCCAGGCACUUUUCACCAAUUCCGCCCGAGAGGGGGAUAUGUGGCUGGAAUUGCCACCGCGCCCUGCUCCCGCAGGACUGCCCGGGCCCAGAAAGUCCUCCGCUGGGGUCAGACUGUGGUAGAGUGUCAGUUUCUCUCACUCACCUCACCACAAGCCAGUGCACGCCUCCCUGCCCGUCCUGUUUUCGACUCCGUUCGCAGACCCCCGUUCUCAGAGCUUCCGCGCGUCUCUCUCUCCUUGCCGAGCCACUGUAGGGGCGGGAAACCCAAAUCGCGGCUUCUAAUGGCGCGGGGUCCAGCCUCCACACUGAGGCUUUUCUGUUCCUGUUUUAGCACCAGGACUGUAUUCCAAUUUGGUUUCUCUCAGCCCAGUUCGUUCCUGAGUCAGCAGAGCAUAUCUCCACCUGCUUAUAUCUCCUUACUCCGCACCCUUCCUGACUUCUGAACCAAGCCUUUCAGAGAGCCUCCGUAGUAUCUGUUAUCUGUCUGCCAUGUUCUCCUGGAAGUCCACAAGCAUGAGUCUUAACAUGUAUUUAUAUCCUUUCUAUAUUAGAGGGAGAAACAGAACAAAGCAGGACAGAAUUAAACUUUUUCCUAUAGACACAUAAAACUAAAAAGACAUAUAAAUCUGCUGUAUAAGGAGUUCUACCAUGGUCACUGUGCUGUUUCUUUUUAUCACUCAACAGAAUAGGCUAAAUCAUCAGAUAAAGUAUAUUUGAGCAUAUCAGUACAUAACAGGAUUAACAGCAAUACAACUUUGUAGAUUAUGUAGAGCUACAAAAACAGGUAGUAAUCAAAUCAGAAUAGAUAUUGUGGUGAAUCAUUGUCAUUUUCAGUAUAGUUGUCUAUACUCCUCAACUUGAUACCAAUAACCUUAGAGUUUUGAAUAAAAUCUGUCAAUAAUAAGCAGCAAUCAAACAAAUCAGAUUUAACGAAAUCAAUCAUGAUACAACAGUAUAAGUCAUACAGGGAUCCUGAUUGAAUUAAUAGGAAAUUAAAUAUGAUCACUCUGAUGUUUUUUUUUUUUUUGAAGACUAUUUCUCCCCUUUAUUCCCCCAGAAUGAACUGUGUAUUUUUGGGUCUCCCCAACACUCAUGGUUUUGUAUGUGGGGGGCACGACCUGCUAUUUUCCUAAGUGUUCCUGAACUUUUUUACUCCUGGGCUGCAUUUCUAGUUAUAUUUCUUCAUUUAUUAAAGCCUGUCUGUUCAACCUAUCCAUAAAUACUGGUCUAGUUACCCCUAUUACUUUCUGGUUCCCUAUCACAUCGAGUUCUGUUUUAUCAUAUUUGAUUUUGGUUCAUAUAACCUUCUUCAGGCUAAUUAUAUUUCCUAUAGAGUUUUGGUUCAUAUAACCUUCUUCAGGCUAAUUAUAUUUCCUAUAGAGAGCCUCUUGGCAAACCCUACCUCUUGAUCCACUCUGCCUGUGAUCCUCUUUUUUUCCUUAAGUUAAGUAUGUCUAGGCCAUCUCUAUUAGAAAUUAUAUCCAACCUUCUUUGCCUCAUUUCUGUUGAGCUCUUUUUCUGUCAUUAGUUGUCAGUUUGUCUUCUUCAUUUCACUUUCUGCUCCAUUCAUUGUAGCUUCUCUGCCAUUAUUUCUGGAAUUCUGGUACUUUUCUCUUUUAGAAUGUCCUGCACUAUUCUCUGUAGAGUUGGAUUGGUGUUUGCAAAUUCCCCCAGUUCCUUUUUAUCUUGGAAGCACCUUGUUUCUUCAUUAAUUUCUAGGAACAGUUGUACAGGAUAUAUCAAUCUUGGCUGGGGGUUAUUGUCUUUCAAAGCUUGGAUUAUUCGCCCCAUGCUCUUCGAGAUUUCAUGGUUUGUGCCAAGAAGUCUGCUGUAAUUCUGAUCGUUAUUCCCUUGUAAGUGAUCUGUUUCUUGUCUCUGACAGCUUUUAAUAUUCUGUUCUUAUAUUGGAUUUCUGGAAUCUUGAUUAUUACAUGCCUGGGUAUAGUUCUGUUUUUUGUCUUUUUCCUUUUCAUCAGUCCCGGGGAUCGAACUCACAACUGCCUCCUUGCAAGGCAGGCGCUUAUGCUGCUGAGCUAAAUCUCCAGCCCAUUCUGUUUUGAUUGUACGUGGCUAGAGUUCUGUAUGCCUCAUACAUCUGAGCAUCUUUACCUUUCCUAUGUUUGGAAAGUUUUCCUUGAUUAUUUCUGUGAAUAGCCUUUUCAGUUCAUUUGUUUGUACCCCUGCUUCUUCAUUUACAUUCUUUAUUCUUAAGUUAUAUAUCCUCUUGUCAUUUUCUAGCCUUUGUAUUGUUACUGCUUAUUUCCUUGUUAUUUUUAAAAAGUUUUUCCUUUCAUGUUCCCAAUUACAAAUCUGUCCUCCAGUUCAUAUAAUCUAUCUUUAGUAUCUUUCAAGCUGUUAUGCCAGCUUUCAAUAGAGGUUUUAGUUUCCUGGUAAUCUCUUUAAACCUGCUUCAUGUAUUCUAUGUUUUCUCUAUUUUCUCCAUCAAAUAAUUCUCCCCCCACUUUUUUUUGUUCUUCAUUCUACCAUCUGUUUUUUCUUGGGAGGUGCUUAGCAUUUCUUUAACUAUUCUACGUAUAUCUUGCUUUACUUGGUUAAAUACUUCACUUUUGAACUUAUCUAUGAGAUCCCAAAGAUAUCGCUUCAUGUCUGUUGUUGCCAUGCCUAAUAUUGCAUGUUUUCUGUCCUCAUUCUCCUUUGCAUUUACCUUUCCUCGAUCAGUGUUCUCAGGAUUGGGGACGGAGGACCCUUUGUUGUUGCCUCCUUUUCCCAUAUUUUUUGUUGUUUCCAUACAGGCGUAUAUAGGAGGCCCAGUUUUUUUCUUUGUUGAUUUCAGUUUGUCUGAAGCCUGCUGACUAGGCGUUCCCACCCACUGCAGUAUACUAGGAGGUACAGACCCCGGCAACCUAUGACGGACCCGCCCCUCUAGGUCAACCUACCGAAGGCUUCACUACGUUAGGAUGCACUGCCAGUCGCAGGGACUUGGUUUGGGCUAGCCUAUUGGGCAUGGCGUCACCCAGGUCAAGUGCUCCCCACCAGUCCCGCUUCAGAGGGGAAUAUGUGACUGAAGUCACUGCGGUGUCCUGUUCCGGCCAGUCUGCCUGGUCCCAGAAUGUCCUCUUUUGGAGCCUCUUUGUCUAUGCAAAGGUCUUUAUUCCUCUCACUCACCGCAGGUCGAUGCAGAGAUCCCAGCUAGCUCUGCUCUCAUUUCAGUUUGCCGAUUCCCUCUCUCAGAGCGUUCACAUCUCCAGUGAGUUGGAACCAAUUCAGGCGUGGCAGCAACAGCGAAUUCAAUCCAUGAGUUCUGGCCGCGGCACCAAGACUUUAGCUGUUCCAGUCGUAGCACCUGAACUGCAUUUCCAGUUGGUUUCUCUCAGCUUAUUUCAUUCCUGGGUCGGCAGGGUAUAUUUCUCUCUGUUUAGGAUUCCCCACACUGCACCAUUCCUGGAAUCUAAGCUGGCUAUCUCAGGGAGCCUCUGUAGUUGCUGUUAUCUAUCCGCCAUCUUUUUGGUUGCUCCUAAAUGUCAACAUUUUCAAUAUCAAUUUUUUUGUUCACAAAACCUAAAACGUAACAGUAUAAAUCCCUAUAUGAACUACAAUGAAAAUAAACAUAAAGCUGUACAACAAAAAUAAACUACUUCAAUUUCAGUUAUUUUAAUUAUUACACCCAAAGCAGUCUUCAUACUUAAAACAGCAUAUUUCGUACACAAAUAUUGCUUACAGUGAUAGCACAUGUUUUCCUCUCUUUCUUGUGGGACAUACUUGUCAUCCCACUGGUCUUGCUGUUUUAUUAGGAGAUUCUUGUGAUAUUUUACUUGUCUGUUCUCUGGUAUGCUCCAGAAUUCUUUUGCAGAGUUUUUUUGGCAGAUUCUUACUGUUCUUUCUCUGUUGUAAUUGGUGUUCCAUUCCAAAUUUGUCUGUUAUAAUUUCCAAAAUUGAAUUGCAUUGUUGGCACUCAGUUCAAUAGGUUUCACUCCUGGCAAGAAUCUCGUAAUACCUUCCAUGUUCAAACAUGAACAUUUUAUAGUAUUUUCACUAGUCAAAUAUUUAUCAAAUAUUAUUGUUUUCUUCCUUACCUGAUCAAGGUUUUCAUUCUUUACUUCUCUGUCUGUCAUUUCUUGCUCUCUGUCAUUAUUACAACUUCUUUGGCUUCUCUGAUCCCUGUUAUAAAAAUAAUCUAUAAAAAAUUUUGCAUCUUGGUUCUGUAAAGUAACCUUUUCUACUAAGAAGUUCAUCAUAGGUGCUGCAGACCUGCCUCCAAAAUCCUGAUAAAAGCCAGGUGUGGUGUGGCACAUGCCUAUAAUCUCAGCUACUUGGGAGGCAAGAGAUUUUUGUAAAUUCAAGCCCAGUCUAGGCAACUCAGUGAGACUCUCUCAAAAUACAAAGGGUUGCGUGGGCAGAGACAGCCAGGCAGAUCCACCUCUGCCAGUGGGGUGCUGUCACCAGAAGGCCGUUUUCUACGGGUGCACAGCAUGGGCAGAAAGAGCCAGACAGAUCUGCCUCUGCCUGCCAUGUGCCGCCACUGGAAAGCUCUUUCCCAGGGUAGCCAGUGCAGGCAGAGAGAACCAGCAGAUCCAUCUCUGCUUGCAGGGAGCUUGCCACUGGAAGGCUUCUUCCUGCAGGUGACCAGCAUGAGCAGGGACACACAGCCAGGAAAGCACUGUGCACCUGUAGGCCAUCAUUGGAGGCUCUUGGUUCCUUCAAGCAAACAUCACCCAAUAGCAGAAUCAGACAAAUACACCUCUGUGUGCCAGCCACCAUCGUGGAAGUCCCAGUGUAGAUACACAGGCUGAGAGAAGCAGCCCCAUCUCCAUGCAACUUUAAUCAUCAGGAAGACCCAGUGUAGCUGCACCUAUCUGGAGAAGCCUGCUCCACGCCCUGUUACCUUCUUGUAAGUCUGGAAUUAGAGGAACCCAGGUGCCUGUCCAAUCCUCCUACACUGCCCAGGGGCAGCCAAAUGGGAAGUGCCUAGGGUCCUGCAAGCUUGUUGGGAGGAACCCAAGAGAAUGUCAAUCUCAGACCUCCAGCCCACACAGAACAAGUCUGGGAGACACAAUCAUCAAAUAAAAUGGAAGUCACACCCUGAAAUCUUUGAGAGGAUAGGAACUGAAGUGAGGAAACAACUUCAUGAGAUUGUAAAAGUAGUCAAAUCAGAAGUAGUGUCUCAGGUAAAAGAUGAAAUCACAAACAUGAGAAUGCUGAAAGAAUUGUUCAGCAGGUCUAAAGAAGACAUAGACAAAAAAGAGGAGCAUAGGAAAAUGAUGGAAACCUUAAAUGAAUAUAGAAAGGAAUUACAGUGCAUAAAACAGAUUCAAAGAGAGAUCCAGGAAAUGAAGAAUUCAGUUGAAAGCUGGCAAAACUGCGUGAGAGGGACUGAAGAUAGACUGUGAAGCCUUGAAGAUUGCAACUAGUGAUCCUGAAAGGAAAGAUCUCUUAAAAACAACACGGAAUGAGGAAAUAGCAACUAAAUGGCUGCAAGAUGAUGCAAAGAAGCAUAAUUUAAGAGUGAUAGGUGUUGGUGAAGAAGCAGGAGUCAACACAAAUGACAUUAAAAGGCUAUUCACAGAAACUAUAGAAGAAAACUUCCCAAACAUGGGAAAUGGAUCUGGCAUGCAGAUAAAUGAGGCAUAUGGGACUUCAACUAGUCAUAACCAAAGUAAAUCUACACCCAGACAUAUAAUAAUCAAGAUCCCAGAAAUUCAGCAAAAAUAACAAAAUAUUAAAAGCUGUUAGAGAAAAGAGACAGAUCACCUAUAAAGGAAAACUAAUCAGAAUCUACAGAUUUAUCAACACAAACCAUCAAGUCAAAAAGAGUUUGGAGUGAAGUGUUUCAGACCCUGAAAGAAAACAACUUCCAACUCAGAUUGAUCUACCCUGUAAAAUUAUCUUUCAAAGUUGAUGGAAAAAUAAGAUACUUCCAUGACAAAGAACAACUGAAGGAAUGCAUGACUACCAAACCAACCCUACAUAGAAUGCUAAAGGAUGUUCUAAAGAGAGAAGGACGACCACAGGUCCAGGAACAGCAGCAGAGGAGGAUUGCCAAACAAGAUAGGCAAUUGAGUGAAAGGGAAAAGUGGAGGGCCAACAACUAGAGGAUAGCAGGGCACAGACAAACCAGUGUAUGCUGGUUGUAACCAUUAAUGUAGAUGGCCUCAGAUUAGCAAUAAAAGAAACACACAGAGAGUGGAUCAAGAAGCAAGAUCCAUCACUAUACUGUAUACAUGAAACACAUUUUUUUUAUUUAAAAAGAAAAAAUAGUAAAAGGGUAAAAGUAAUACAGAAUUUCAAGAAAAAAAUAUAGUAAGUAAUCACUAGUUAAUAGAUUACAUAUUGUCAUCUUAGAAAUAGUUGUUCAAAUUACAAAAUUAAAGCAUACAAAAUAGACAUUCAAACAGUGAGAUUGCAAACAGUUCUGUUCAAUGAUCCAACAAAAACUUAGUAAUAUGGUUUUCUAUCUUACACACUUAAAUAUACAUGCAGUUAUAUCCUUUAGAUCACUUUCUUUUCCUCUCUUUUUUACAAUAACAAUUACACAUUUUGGGUUUUAUUAUUCCCACAGUUCUUAUUACUUUUUUUUGAAGAGAAAAAAGUUAAAUAUGACAAAACAAAGCAGUUAAUCCAAACAAAGGAUAGACAUAACACAUGCUAUCUUAAAAAGAGUUGCCUAUUUCAUCAGGUAUAAUAGAAUGGAACAAAACAGUACAGAACAAAACCAAUAAAACCUAAACAUUGGAGACCUUAAAGGACUUUAAAAGAAGAUAAUAGUCAACCAUAAUGGGCAUCAUAGUAAAUCUUAUUGCCUUCAAAGUGGUUGCCUAUACCCUCAAACUUUUUUUUUUUGAGGGUCUUUGCAAAAAAAUUCUAUGAACCUUUAUUGACAGUAAUAAUUUUAUAGUGUUUUUAUAGGUCUCCUCUAUAUAAGUAAUGUUUGAAAUAUUUCCAAAAUAGUCACAUAUGUAAGAUUUCACUUAACUAUGAUUAGUUUAACAUGUUUGACAAUAAUGAUGAAUACUAAAUGCUUUCCCACAUUGCAUACAUAGGCUAAGGAAACAAUAUGGCAUCACUCAGAAGAACAGCAUCUUUCAGCUGAACUUUUAGCAAAUAUUUCUCACAUGCAGUUACUCCCCAGCAUGAGGGGAAUCUUAUGCUUGCAAAAGGGAAACACUGCAGCAAAUUUUUUCUACAUGACCUACAUACAGAGGAUUUCUUCAUUGUGUGCAUUGUCCCUCUAUUUGAUGGCACUUUUGUGCACUAAAUGGUAUUCACCAUUGUUCAAAUGCAUAGAAUUACUAUACAGAGGGAAGUUUUUCAUGUAGUGACAAUCUCUCUGGUUGUGGAAAGUUUUCUGACAUUCCUUAUGUUCAUAAGGUUUCUUCGAGUGUGGAUAUUUUAUGUUUAUAAAGUGACAAUUUAUCAACAAAUCCAUAUUCUCCUUUCUCAUAUAGGUAGUUUUUUUGCAGAGUGAAUUCUUUUAUAUACAAAGAUGCUACUAAAGUUGAAAGACAUCUCUAAUAUCAUACAUAGAUAAAUAGGGUUUGUUUUCAGCUCUUCUACAUACUGAAUGCUUUGCCACAUUGUUUAUAUCCAUAGAAGUUCUAUCCAAUGUGAUUUCUUUCAUGUAUAAUAAGGGUACCAUUUUGAAUGAAAGAUUUCCCACAUUGCUUACAUAUAUAUCGUUUCUCCCCAGUGUGAACUCUAUCAUGUGCUUUACAAUCAGAGUCUUUACGAAUGUUUUCCCAUAUUUGUUGCAUACGUAGGGUUUUUCCUGAGUGGGUUCUUUCAUGUGUAAUAAGUUUAUCACUUCGAUGGAAAGAUUUGCCACAUUAGUUGCAUACAAAGGGUUUUUCCCCCUUGUGAAUUCUAUUUUGUUCUUUAAAAUCAGAAGAUGUACUCAAUGCUUUUCCACUUUUGUUGCAUACAUAGGGUUUCUCCCCAGUGUAAAUUCUACCAUGUGCUUUACAAUCAUAAGCUCUUCUGAAUGCUUUCCCACACUUGUUGCAUAUAUAGGGUUUUUUCUGUGUGGAUUCUUUCAUAUGUAAUAAGUUUAUCACUUCGAUGGAAAGAUUUCCCACAUUAGUUGUAUACAAAGGGUUUCUCCCCCGUGUAAAUUCUACCAUGUGCUUUAAAACCGUAGGCUCUCCUGAACGCUUUCCCACACUUGUUGCACACAUAGGGUUUUUCCCCAGUGUGAAUUCUACCAUGUGCUUUACAAUCAAAUGUCCUGAACGCUUUCCCACAUUUGUUGCACACAUGGGGUUUCUCCCCAGUGUGAAUCAUUUUAUGUCUUUGACAGCUACUGCCUGUACUGAAGGUUUUCCCACAUACCUUGCAUAAAUAUAGUUGCUUUCCAGUGUGAAUUUCUUUAUGUUUUUUAAAGGAAUUACUAUAAAAGCAUGUUUUUGCACAUUUCUUAGUUACAUGGUAUUUCUCUCCAUCAUCUUUUCUAACAUUUUUUUCAAUAUGGUAUAAAGAAGUAGAUUUAUUGUCAUAAUGUUUGUCUACAUAUAAGCUCCUUGAACUGUUAUUGCUCUUGUUGAUUUGAAAAUUGUUAGGUGUUGUGUAAGCUUUCUCAUUUUUCUUACCUACAAGUGUUUUCUGCCCAGGGUGAGUUUGUUCACUUAAGAUCAGAGCUGUCCUCCCCACAUUGCCCAUAUUGACAGGGUCUCUCUCCAGUCUUCCUCAUUUCAUGCUUCUGAAAGGACUGGAAAUCUCUGCAGGUCUCCACAUUUUUAUUACAUUUAUAUGGCUGCUCUUCAAUUCUCAAAUAAUUAUCUUCAUCAUUAUUUAGACUUCUUGAGCAGUUUUUGUCUUCUUCAUUAAUUUUCUGGCUAUUCCACAUUCUUCCUGUAGCAUUAAUAUUCAUAUAUGUUUCCCACAUCACACUUCUGUAGAGCUUCUUUUGGGAUGGAGUCAGCAAAUCCCACUCUUCUGGGGUAAACGUCACAGCUACAUCCUCAAAGGUCACUGUCUCUGGAAUCUGUGGGAUGCAAUGAAAGCUGUCCUCAGAGGAAAGUUUAUUGCACUGAGUUCCCACAUUAGGAAAACAGAACACAUACAAAUAAAUAAUCUGACAUUACACUUCAAAUAUCAUUGCUAUGCUUGAGGAUAUACCCUCAAACUUGUUACUAUCAAACAAAACAGAAUAGAGUAAAAUCAGUCAAAACAAGAUGGGGAGAGCAACACAGGGGUUCAAAUCAGAUUAAUAGAAAAACAAAAAGUCAGUAUAAUAUAUCCCUCUAUUUUUAAAUUUAUUUUUCCCUUAAUUUAAAAAAUAAAAAAAAUUAAUUUUUUUUUAGAAAAAAAAGGGGAGAUUGAGAUAAAAGAAGACAUAACAGCAGAACAACACAGGUCAGAACAGAACAAUUUAAGCAUCAUAGUGUUUCACCACCAGAUAACCUGACAUAAUAGUAGUUACCAUAGUGUCUCUUUCCUUGAAAUAUUUGAGUAUGACUUCGUAUACAAGAAACACAUUUAACUGGGAAGGAAAUUCAUAGACUGAAAAUCAAAGGAGAGAAAACAAUUGUUCCAUGUGACAGGAGACCAGAAAAAAAAAAAAACAAGUAAAUGUAACUUGCCCAUUUGACCACAGAAUGGAUAAGAAAGAUAUGGUAUUUUCAUGCAUUGAAAAGCUACCCAACUAUAAAGUAGGAUGAUCUCAAGGGUUCUGUAGGUAAAUGGAUGCAACUAGAGAGCAUGUUCAUGGGUGAAACAGUUCAAACUUGUAUGCGUGAACCCUAGCGUAAGAAACAGAAGGAGUUAAUGCAAUCCAAAAGCAAAAUAAUUAUUGUAAGAGAGAUAGGGUAGGAAGCACCUGGGAGGGAAAGGUGGUAACUACUGUUAAAUUUUUUAUUGUCUUGUCUUGAACUCUUGUAUUGUUUUCACAAUUUUGUUAGGUUUGGCUUUGUUCUAUCUUGUUUUGUUAGAUUUUACUCUGUCUGAUUAUAGGGGCAGGUAUUUGAAUAUAAUGGGGUAAAUUAUGGUAAUCUUGGUUUCCUGUUAUAUUGAAAACUUAUAAUGCUUUCACUCAUUUAUUUAAUUGGUUUUAUUGUUUUAUUUGAUUUUGUUAUGUAUGAUGGUAUAAACAGCCAUUUUGAAGAAAAUGGGACUUAGUAGCCAUUGCUGAUUUCCUGUGAUCUUGCUUUGAAAUCCUAUCAUGUUUUUGUUUUUUUUGUUUUGAUUGGUUGUAUCUGGAUCUAUCCAGGUAAAAGCAGAAAGAUUUUGGGAACUUGGGUCAAGAGGGACAGUAGAGAAAGCAUCUUUGAGAACAGUAAGGUGAGGUGUCUGGCAGUACUGAGGGAAGAAUGUUUCAUGGAUUAGGCUCUAGGGGAUGGUGCGCAGUGAGGCGCCAAUGUUUGCGUAUAGGUCCUGAACUAGACCACAGGUCUCAUUUGGUGUUUUACAGCUAGGAUAGGAGUAUUGUAAGGAGAGUUGGUGGGAGUAAGAAGCCUGGCAGAGAGGAAGGAGUUUGGAGAUAGUACCUUGGAGUCCCCAAAUGAUCUGUGGGAUAUGGUACCUUGUUGGGGAAGGUGAUGGAGUUUUUCACGCUAAUGUUGAUAGAACUGUGAUGAGGAGCAACUUGAGGGUUGUUCAGUGCCUCAAACAAUGGGAUUGGCUUGGAGUAGAAUGUGAGGUAAGUUUAUGUGGGUUGUGGGGAUGGGGCUAAGGAGAAUAUAGGAGAAGAAUAGCAGCAAAGGUUGGAGUCUGGAUGGUAGUGGUGGAAUAUAACUUUGAAAGUGUAUCUCAUUCCAUUAAUGGGGUAGAAUGGGUUGGGAUACUAGAAAGGAAUGUGUAAAAACUGUUUUUAAAGUGUGAGAUGGAGGCUUGAUACAGAGUGAUUUGGAGCAAAGGCCAUCAACUCUUAUAGUAUAUGAGACAGAGCAGGCACUAAAGGCCCUGGAUGUUUCCAAUAACUAAAUACGUUGUUCACACAUUCAAAAGCAAAGAGAUUAACUUACCUGCUGCCAUCAGACAAACUCCGGGUUUAUUUUGGUGAUGAACUUCAGAACUUGUGUCUCCUUAGUUAUCGGCAGCAGGUCCCCACAGACUGGGGAGGGACAGGUUGGAGUUAGCCGCGGAGUUGGAAUACUUGGCGCCCUUUUCCCAGAGGUCCCAGGAUAAUGCUUAUGGGACCUUUAGCUUAUGGGAAGAAAGGAUUGUUUUUGUAUUUACUUAUCUCUUGUGCAGUGUUUCUGACUCUUCUGUGCAUUCUGAAUGAAGUGAGUCAUCAGAGAAGUUUGCGUGCUGAGAAUUUUAACCCUUUGUCAUUCUUUUUUCCCUCCUGAAUCAGGAAGUUCAGAUCAUUGACAAGGAAUGAAGUGGUCACACAUGUAACUGCUUCAAGCUGAGUGGAGAUAUAGAGGAUUUUUCUAAAUUUUAAAAAUUCUAUUAGAAAAUAUUUGCAGUCAUAUGCAGUUUAGUGGGAAAUGAUUACAUGCACAUACUACCGCUUGUUUCUUCUUUUAACCGCCGCCCCUCCCCUCAGUUUCCCUAUCCUGAUUUUCAUUCUUGAUAUUAACCUUAGCUAUGGGAUGUAAUGUUUACAUAAUUGAGAUUGUGAAGUUCCUGGGUAUGGCCUAUUUUUAUUCUCCUUAUUUCCUCUCUCCCUCUUCCUCACCCUUACACUUGUUUCCUUGGUCCCCUAGUCCCCUUCUAUCCAUCCUUUAUUAUUCUCCUUGUUUGUACUUUCCCUCACUCAAAUGAGAGAUAUCAUAUGGUAUUUAAGUUUGUGUGUCUGGCUUAUUUCAUUCAACAGUGUAUUUUCCAGGUGCUUCCAUUAUCUAGAAAUGUCAAUGUGUCAUUGUUUAUAACUGAGUACUAUCCACUAUAUAUAGAUACCACAUUUUCUGUAUAUAGAUACCAAUCAUCUGUUGAUGGGUAUGCAGGCUGCUUCCAGGAUUUAACUAUUAUGAAUUGUGUUGCUGUAAACAUUGGUGUGCAUGCAACACAGUAGUAUGAUGUCUUAAGCUCUUUGGGGAAGAUACCUAACAAGACAAGGAUACGUGGGUCAUAUUGAAUUUCUAAUUUCAGUCCUUUGAGAAAUCUCCGUACUGAUUUCCAUGAUGGUUUACGUUAUGGAAAUAAUGUAAACCAUUAUGGAACUAGUUUAUAUUCUCACAAAGAAUGCAGGAGUUCUUUUUUUCACCACAGCCUUGCCAGCAUUUGUUAUUAUUUGAUUUCUUAAUGGUUGCCAUUCUUUCUGGAGUAAGAUGGAACCUUAAGGUUGUUUUAAUUUGCAUUUCUCUAAUGGCAAGAGAUGUUAAGCAUUUUCAUAUAUUUAUUGACCAUUUGUAUUUCUUGCUCUGCGAAAUGUUCAUUUCUUUUGCCCAUUUCUUGACUGGUUCUUUUAUUUUAGGUGAUUUAAUUUUUUUGAGUUCUUUGUAUAUUCUGCCCUCUGUCUGGUGACUAGCUGGCAAAAAAUUUCCCCAUUCUGUAGGUUUUUUCUUCACUCCAUUGAUUGAUUCUUUUGCUCUACAGCAGCUUUUUAGUCUGAUAUAAUCCCAUUUAUUGAUUCUUGCUGCUAUUUCUUGUAUGAUUUAGGUACUGCUUAGAAAAUACUUUCCUAUACCUGUGUCUACCAUUAUUUUACAUAUUUUAUCUUCCAGUGAGUUUAAUGUUUCUGAUUUAAUGUUUACAUCUUUGAUCUAUUUUGAUUUUAAUUUAGUAUAUGGUAAGAGAUAAGGGUCUAGUUUUAAUCUUCUGCAUAGAGAUAAACAAUUUUCAUACCUGGCUGAGUGUGAUGCUUUUAAUUUUGGGGGGAAGAUAUCAAGAAGGAGAAGAGCUGGAUCAACUGGGACCUCUAGCCAUAGUUUUAUCUCUAUACUGAUAGAAUCUCUAUACUGAUUUCUAUAGUGGUUGCAUCAGUCUACACUCCCACCAAAAGUGGAGAAGGGUUCUUUUCUUUCUGCACCCCUGCCAGCAUUUGUCAUUGGUUGAUUUUUUGAUAAUAGCUAUUCUUUCUGGGGUGCGAUGGAAUCUAAGAGUUGUUUUAAUUUUCAUCUCUUGAAUGAUUAAUGGUGUUAAACAUUUUUUCAUGUAUUUAUUUUCCAUUUCUAGUUCUGAAAAGUGUCUAUUCAUUUCAGAUGCUCAUUUAUGGAUUGGGUUUUUAAAUGGGGGGGGGUUGUCUGAUUUUUUUUUUCAAUUCCUUGUAUACUCUAGAUAUUAGUCUUCUUGUCCGAAGAACAACUGCCUAAGAUUUUCUUCCACUAUGUGGAUUGUCUCUUCACUCUGUUGGUGAUUUCUUUUGCUGUGCAAAAGUUUUUUUCAUAAGAUGAGAUCUCAGUAAUGAUUCUUCGUAGUGCUUCUCAUGUGGUUGGGGUUUUGUUCAUGAAGUCUUUGCCUACACCUAUGUCCUCAAGAGUUCUACCUAUUCUCCCUUCCAGCAGAUCUAGUGUUUCUGUUUUAAUAUGUAUAUCCUUGAUGCAUUUUGAUUUUUGUUUAGUACAUCGUGAUAGAUGUACUAAACAACUCUAGGAGGUUUAAUUUUAGUUUUCAGCAUGUGGAAAGCCAGUUUUUCUAGUACCAUUUAUUAAAGAGGCUUUCUCUCCUCCGGUAAAUGUGUUUGACUCUGGGGCAUCACAGUCCCUGACUUGAAAUUAUACUGCAGAGCUACUGUGAUAAAAACAGUGUGGUACUAGAAAAAAAAAAGAUCUGAGGAUCAGUGGAACAGAUUAGAAGGGGCAGAAACAACUUCAAACACACUCAGCUACUUUGUCUUUGACAAAGAGGCUAUACCACUAUUUUUAAUCUUCUUAAACUUUAAUAAUUUAAAGACCUAAUUUAAGAUAAGGAAUUUGGAAAAAAAAGACUUAAGUCCUUUAGUUUGAUUAUGAACAAAAUGUUAAAUAAUUAUAUCUUAGUUUAACUAUUUUCAUGUUUGAAGUAAUAUUUAUUUAAAGCUCUGUAAGCUUUAUUACAGUUUUCUUUUUAGUUUUGUUUGUCUAAUAUCAAGUAGGUGAUUUUUUUGGUUUGUACAUGUUUGCAGUGCAUAAUGAUUAAUUCAUUGUGUGGACUUGGUACAUGUUAUGUAUCUCUGAACUCUUCGUUACCACCCCCCUAUUGUGUCUCUUGGUUCAUUCCAUUUUCCAAAAGUUCUGCUUCCAAGCUGAGUGUGGAGGCACAUACUUCUAAUCUCAGAACUUGGAGGUUACAAUGGGAGCAUUGCCACAGGUUUAAGACUGGCUUUGACUACAUAGUGAAUUUAAGACCAGCCUGAACUACACGACAAGAUCCAAUUUAAAAAAAAAAAAGGAAAAAUAAAGUUCUAUUUCCUUGUUUUCUAUGAUCUAUCUUUUAUGUUGCUGUUUAUAUUUUUGGGCUUCCCAUGUAAGAGAAACCAUAUGAUCUUUGAGCUUGUGUAUAUGAUUAUUGCACUUGACAUUAUGGUCUUAAAUUGCUUCUAAUUUGCUACAAAUGACUGAAGUUUAUUCUUCUUUAUGGUAGAUUAGUAAUCCAGUGUGUUUGAAUACUAUAUGUUCUUUAUCUACUUAUCUAUUUUAAUUAGAAUAUACUUGCAGUACAUAAUGAUUUACAUUUCUUAUGUGGAGUUGGUAUUUGGAUAUAACACAUCUCAAUAUUUUUAUGCUUUCCCCUUCAGCCUCUCUUUCCAUCUCGUGUGUGUGUGUGUGUGUGUGUGUGUGUGUGUGUCUCACUAUGUAGUCCAAGCUGGCUUUAAUUUGCGGCAAUCCUCCUGUCGCAGCCUCCCAAGUGGUGGGGUUACAAGCAUAUGCCACCACGUCUAGCUCUUCCCUCUGUCUCUUUAGCCUACUUGAAAGCCAUCUAUCUCCCUACUUUCUAUUUUUUGUUUUGCUCUUUUUCUGGUUUGUUUUUCAUAUCUUGAUAAAGAGGCUAUCUUUCCUCUACUAUGUGUUUUUUGCUCCUUUGUCAAAGAUCAGAUGUCUGGGCUGGGGAUUUAGCUCAGCAGCAUAAGCGCCUGCCUUGUAAGCAGGCAGGCAGUCGUGAGUUCGAUCCCUGGUACCAAUAAAAAGGAAAAAGGCAAAAAAAAAAAAAUCAGAUGUGUGAGUGUUCCUCGGGCUGUUUCUUUAUCCUUUAUUCUGUUCUAUUGAUCCUUCCAUCUUUUUUUGGCCUGUAACAUGCUGUUUUUUUUUCUUUUAAUCAUUGUUGCCUUGUAAUAUUACUUGAAAUCUAGGAUUGUGUUGUCUCCUACUUUGCUGUUGUUACCUUGGAUUGCUUUUGCUAUUUUCAUUCUUUUCUGGUUUCAUGAGAAUUUUAGGAUUUUUUUCUACAGUUUUGUGAGGAAUAUCAAUAGUGUUUUUGAUUAGGAUUUUGUUUAAUCUAUAUAUCAGCUUUGGAAAUAACACUGUGAGACCAUUUUGACAGUGUUACUUCUGCUUAUUUAGGAAGAAGGGUGUCUUUUCAUUUUCUAAUGUCCUCUUUCAUCUGCUUUUUAAAAAUGUAGUGUUGCUUUCAUUGUAAGGCUCUUUUUCCUCCUUGGUUAGUUAUUCUAGUUGUUGUUGCUUUCUUUUUGAUUCAGUAUCUUGCUAUGUAGUUUGGGCUUACCUUGAACUGACUAUGUAGCUCAGGCUGGCCUUGAACUCUGGCAGUCCACUUGCUUCAGCCUGGGAUUUUAGGCAUGAAGCACCCUGGUGUGUUAUUUUGGAAGUAUUUAAUUUUUUAAUGCUAUUGUGAAGUGUAUUAUUUUCCUAAUUUCUUUUUUUCUUUUUCUUAUUCAACUUUGUUUUAAUGGGUCUCAAAAUUCUGUGACAGAUUUUUGGUCAAGUUGUUUCCAUUAAAAAGUGUUGAUUUUUAAAAACUAACAACUUAAGAGCUGCCACACACACACACACACACACACACACGCAUGCAGGCAUGCACAAAUAGUCCACAAAACAUUCUUCUUUCCUUCUGAAGAUUUUAUGAUGCACUAUUAGCCAGUCGCUCACUGUUAAACUUAAAUGGCCAAUUGAGAGAAAUAGUUUUCUUAAUUUCUUAAUUGGUGAGUUAAUUAUUGGUACAGGAGUACCACUAACUUUUUUUGUGUUGAUUUUGUGUCUUCUUACAUAGCUAAAUUUUUUUAUUAUUUCUAGGAGUCUUUUGAUGGAAUAUUUUGGGUUUCUUUGUUGUACACAAAUAAUAAUUUGACUUUUUUUUUCUGUACAUAUGCCUUUUAUUUCUUUUUCUUGCCUGAUUUCUCUGGCUAAUGUUUAGAGUAUUAUAUUGAACAGAAGUGUAGAUAAUAGACAUCUUUGCCUUGUUCUUGAUUUUAGAGGGAUAGCUUUCAACUUUUACUCCUUUAAUAUGAUGUUGACAGUAGGUUUGUCGUAAAUGGCUUUCAUCGGAUUGAAAUAAAGUCCUUCCAUACCUAUUUUGUUUUAGUUUUUGAAAAAACUAUGAAUGGGUAUUGGAUUUUGUCAAAGGCUUUUUGCAAAUAUUGAGGUCAUCUUGUGAUUUUUUUUUUUUUUUAAACAAGGUCUUGCUAUGUAUUGCAGGCUGGCCUCAAACUUGUGGUGAUCCUCCUUCCUCAGCCACCUGAGUUCUGGGAUUACAGGUGUGCACCACCAUGCCUGGCCCUUACAUGAUUUUUUUUUUUUUUUUUUUUUGGUAUUGGGGAUCAAACUCACAGCCUCAUGCUUGCCAGGCAGGCGCUUAUGCUGAUGAACUAAACCCCUGGCCCAAGCCCCUGGCCCCUCAUUAUAUGAUUUUUUUCAUUGUUUCUAUAUAAUACCUUUAUUGAUUUACACAUAUUGAACCAUCCUUACAUCCCUGGGCUUAAGCCUACUUGGUUAUGAUCUUUUUGAUAAUUUGUUACAUUCUGUUUACCACUGUCUCAUUGAGAUUUUUUGCAUCUGUGUUCAUUAAAGAGAUUGACUUGCAGCUUUCUUUUUUAGUUGAAUUGUUGUUUGACUUUGGAAUCAGGGUAGUGCUGGCUUCUAGGAGUUGGUUUGGAAGUACUGUUUAGCUUUCAGUUUUAUUAACGAUUUUGAUGAAGAUAGGUGUUGGGACUCUGAAGUUCUCAUAGAAUUCAGUGAUAAAUCUGUCAGGCCCUAGGAUUUUCUUGGUAUUUAUUUUUUAACUACUUUUAUUUCAUUGCCUUGUAUUUGACUUUACUAGGUUUUUGUAUUUUCUUGGUUUAGUUCUGGUAAUGCAAGUGUGUUGGGAGCCACCACAUUGCCGAGCCGCCGCAUAUAGCGAUCAUGCGGCCUGUGGUAAAGAGUAAAGCCUGAGUUAGAUUACCCCUCCCAUCGAGCACGUUAGUUUCCUGCUUACCGCGUAAACAACCCGCUCAAUAAUAUGUUAGCCAAUCAGCUUGCCUUGCUUACUUUAACAUGAUUGGACACUGUAUCCGUAUAUAUACUGGUGUCACCCCUGGGGGGAAGGAGAAGCCCGAAAGGAGCCGCGGAGAGCGGACCGGUAGAGGCUUCGGAGAGAAGCCCGAAAGGAGCCGCGGAGAGCGGACCGAUAGAGGCUUCGGAGCGAAGCCCAGAAAGAGCCGCGGAGAGCGGACCGGUAGAGGCUUCGGAGCGAAGCCCAGAAGGAGCCGCGGGGAGCGGACCAGAGGAGGCUUCGGCUGGGAGCGAUCCCAGGGCAGGCUGUACGGAGAAAAAAUUAAAAAAAAGGUUGUCCACUGCCAGACUUUGUCGUGUGUCCUUCCUGCCGGCCGGGAGCGACAUCGACAUUUGGUGGCCCGUACGGGGACUGAUCAACCCCGAGACACGGCGGUGGUGUGCAACGCUCCAGCGUGGUGCUGCCGGACAGGAACCGGGACAAAAACCACUGUGGGUCCCAGAGAGGUUGACGCGACAAGUCCCUCGACUAAAGAUCAGGCCUGUUCCACCAGGGGCCAACCGCAGACCCAACAACAAGAUGAGCCCUAAAAGAACUGCAGGACAAUCCCUUUUUGGGGAGCCUAAAAUGGCUUGCUCCCCUAUGUUUUACCAUUGUUAGGUCCCCUGUGCUCCUUGCUUCUGCUCUUACUUGUAGGACCAUUCUUGCUCCGAUGGGUUACAUCAUUUAUUAAUGGGCGCCUUGCGGCGGCCCGGCGUCAAGUACGCCUGGUUGCCCAUGCGGCCCUGGCAGCAGCCCGUGAUGGGCACAAUGACCCCCAGGCCUACGCAUGGCUCGCUCGCCUAGCCUACGACCGAGUCUAGGGACGGUGAGCUUCCCACACUCCUCCUCUAAAAAAUUAUGAUAUAACAGGGUAGAUGAGUCAAUGACGGGUAAGAGCAUGCCUCCCCAGCAUGACUCAACCUAAGACAGGCCCUACCCCAUACCGCACGAAAGCCGCUAAAUUACUAGGUUCCGCCCAAACCAAAUGUCGCCCCGGGGGGAUCAUGCGGAGCGACAUGAGUGUAUGCCUGUGUGCAUCCAGGUUCCGUCCGGUUCCUUCCUGGCCCUGGAAAAAGGACGAGGGCCUCGGGGCCUCGACAGACUCGGGGACGGCCGACCCGGGCCGACGCCGAGAGUCCUUGGUGGGCCUCCUAUCAGGGCAUAGGCCUCUACACUCAAUUCAGGACGGGCUGCGAUGCGUAGACUUAUUUAAAAUAAAAAAGGGGGAGAUGUUGGGAGCCACCACAUUGCCGAGCCGCCGCAUAUAGCGAUCAUGCGGCCUGUGGUAAAGAGUAAAGCCUGAGUUAGAUUACCCCUCCCAUCGAGCACGUUAGUUUCCUGCUUACCGCGUAAACAACCCGCUCAAUAAUAUGUUAGCCAAUCAGCUUGCCUUGCUUACUUUAACAUGAUUGGACACUGUAUCCGUAUAUAUACUGGUGCCACCCCUGGGGGGAAGGAGAAGCCCGAAAGGAGCCGCGGAGAGCGGACCGGUAGAGGCUUCGGAGAGAAGCCCGAAAGGAGCCGCGGAGAGCGGACCGAUAGAGGCUUCGGAGCGAAGCCCAGAAAGAGCCGCGGAGAGCGGACCGGUAGAGGCUUCGGAGCGAAGCACGGAAGGAGCCGCGGGGAGCGGACCAGAGGAGGCUUCGGCUGGGAGCGAUCCCAGGGCAGGCUGUACGGAGAAAAAAUAAAAAAAAAGGUUGUCCACUGCCAGACUUUGUCGUGUGUCCUUCCUGCCGGCCGGGAGCGACAUCGACACAAGUGUAUCAGGAAUCUGUUUCUUCUGGAUUCUCCAAUUUACCGGAAUACAGGUUUUUGAAAUACUAAUGAUCUUCUGGAUUUCGGCAGUAUCUAUUGUGACCUUAUCUUUUUCAUUUCUGAUUGCAUUAAUGACUGCUCUUUUUUUUUCUUCUUCUUUUGGUAAGAUUGGCUAAGGGUUUAUUUUGUUUAUUCCUUCAAAGAGUCAGUUCUUUGAUUCAUUGAUCUUCAUGUUUUUGAAUCAAUUUCAUUUAACUUUUCCUCCAGUCUUUAUGAUUUCGUUCCUUGAACCAACUUUGCCUUUGUAUUGUUACUGUUAGAAUCUUGUUUCAUCUUAGGUUAUUUAUUUGGGCUCACUUUUUCUGAUGUACAAACUUCUUCUUAAGACUGCUUUCAUUGUAUCUGAUGCAUCUAAUGUGUGAUAUUGGGUGUUAUCAUUUGACUCUAGGACCUGUCUUAUUUUUUCCUUGAUUUUUUUCAAGACCUAUUCAUUAUUCAAGAGUUUAUCAUUUAAUUUACAUGUGUUUGCAUAAUUUCUGUGGUUUCUGUUGCCAUUCAUUUCUAGUUUCAUUGCCCUAUGAUCCAACAAUUCAUGGGAUAAUUUUUUUUAAAUUUACUUAAGCCUUCUUUAUGGCCUAGAAUGUAGUCUGUUUUGGAGAAAGUUCUAUGUGCUGAGAAGUGUGUAUUUUCUGUUGUUGGGUGAUACAAUAUAGAUACUAAUUAUGUUUGACGAUUUGGUUCAACUUUGAUAUUUAUCUGGUUUUUUGUCUAGUUUUUCUAUUUGUGAUUGUGGGGUAUUAAGGUCACCCACAAUAAUUUUGUUAUUUCUGAUCUUUUAUUUCCAGGAGUGUUUUUUUUUUUUUUUAUGAAGUUGGGCGUGCUGAUGUUCAGUGCAUGUGUUUAUAAUUGUUACCUCCGCUUUUUGAAUUGUUUGCUUAACCAAUAUGUAAUGACCUUCUUUGCUUCCUUUGAUUUGUUUUGAGGGGGCUCCUGGUGCAUAGAAAAUUGCUUUUUUUUUUUGGUUAAGAAUGCCUUUUUGAGUUAAAUACACUUUUUGUAUAUGACAUACUAUUGGAUUUUGGUUUUUGGUCCAUUUGCUAGCCUGGUCUUUUGAUUGGGGGAUAAGACCAUUCACACUAAGAGUUAUUAGUGAAAUGCAUUGACUUACUUCUGUCAUUGUAUUAGUUGCAGAUCCAUUUAUUCCCUUUUUGCUUAACUGCUUACUCUGUCUCGUAUAUUCAUUGAUUAGAAUUUUUGGCAUCAUUUAUUUUAUUGUCUCUUUCAAGGAAGCUGUUGAGGAUAUUUUGGAAUGCUGGCUGCUGGUCGUGAACUUUGUGAUGUUUUUGUCAUGGAAAUACCAUAUUUUCCCAUGAGUUUUGAAAGAUAAGGUUGCAGGAUAUAUCAGUGUAGGUUGAAAGUUGUUCUCACUUAGGGCUCAGAAUACUUUAUUCCAAGCUCUCAUGGCCUUUUAAGUUUGUGUAGACAAGUCUGCUGUGAUUCUAAUGAGUUUACCUUUGCAAGUAAUUUGUUGCUUUUCUCUAAAAGCUUUUAAGAUUCUGUCUGUGUGUUGGACUUCUAGGAUUUUGUCUGUGAUUUGUCAUGGAGAAGUUGUUAUCUGAUUGUGGCUAUUUAGAGUUCUAUAUGCCUUGCUUAUCUCUGUGUUAAAUUUUCUCCAUAUUUAGAAAGUUUUGUGUUAUUCUUUUUCCAAAUAGGUUUUCAUACGAUUUUUACUAUCUCCUAUUUUUCUCUCAUUCCAGUUAGUCUUAGAUUAAUCUUCUUUGUAUCGUCUAGCAGCUGUCAAAUCCACUUUCCAUCUUCUCUUGUUUUUUUAAAGGUAUCUUUAAGUAUAUGUCACCAGUGUCAGCCCUGUCUUCUAGUUUUGACACUCUCUGCUUACACUGGUCCAUCUACUGUCCAUGCAUUUUCUUUGUUUUGUUUUUAGUUUUUAGAGACAGGGUUUCAAUAUGUAGUUCAGGCUGGUUUUGAACUCACUGUGUAGCCAAGGCUUGCCUCAAACUUGUGGUAGUCCUGUCUCAGGCUCCUUAGUGCUAGGAUUACAAGUGCGUACCGCUAUGACUGGCCUCCUAUACUUUCAAUAGAAUUUUUUAUAUUCUGAAUUUCUGUUCAGUACCCUUUCACAGACUCUAAUUCUUUGUAAAAUGGUCAUUCAUCUUUUAUAUCAUUGGUUUUAGCUUAAUUAGCUGUUUAUUAGUCUUUCAUAAGCUCACUGAUUAUUUAUUAUGUUCAUUUUUUGUUUAGUUAUGUUUGAGUGCUUCAGCCUUCUUACUGAUCUGUUUUCUCAGCUCUUUGGCAUUUGAUUUCUUCCACAUUGAUGCCCCAUUGGUUAGUUUUGGAGGUCUAGGAAAUUUUAUGGAGUCAUUUUGGUUUUUCUUUUUUUUAAUUUUUAAUUUUAAAGAGAAUGAAACCAAGCAACAUAAAACAGAGUAAAGCCAAUAAAACAAACUAGUAUAAGUGACACAGAACUUCAGAACAAUAGGAAAUCAAUAAUGGUUAUCAUAAUAUCUGUUGUCAUCAAAAUAGUUGCAGAUACCUUCAGACAUAGCAAAAAUGAAGCAAAACAGAACAAAAUAGAACCAAUAAAAACAAAACAAUGAAUGCAAUAAAGGCCUUCCAUACAAGAUAAUAGUAAAUCCAAAGUGGCUACCAUAAUAUAUCUUGUUAUCUUUGAAAUAGCUGCCCAUGCCAUCCAAUAUCAAACAAAACAAAACAGAAUAAAACCCAACCCAACAAAGCAAUGGAAAUGAUACAGGACUUCAAAACAAGACAAUAGGAAAUUAAUAAUGGCUACCACCUUAUAGAAGGAGAUUCCCCCAUAGAUGCUACAUUGUGUAUUGUUAUCCUCUGAAUAGAUGAUCAGACUACUGGCUUUAGUCCUGCAAAGUCAGUGAAACAUUAAACACUGCAAGCAUUAAAUUGUAUUUUACCUAAAUAGCUAUCAUCACAGCCUGUGUUUCUCCAGAUCAGCUGGGUACUUACGGCAGGGAGGCUGAGGGUGGGGGAGUUGGCUCUUAUUGUUUCCCAGCCUGCAUGCCAGAAAGGCUGGCAUCUGACUUUCCCCGCAGCAGCCUACUGAUGGUGCUGAUUUGCAAGGAGGGCUUGCUUCUUGGUGACUUCUUGUUCUCUUCCCAGUCCUCAAAUGGCACUGACUCAGGAGAAAAGGCUAGUAUAUUUGGCUCUGGAAUCACUUUGUUGCCUGUUUUUCUCAUGUUUCAAUUGUGUCUGUGUGUACAUGCAUGGUGAUAUUUGCAGGUCUGUUUUAGUGGAAAGACUGUUGCUAGUAUGGAGAUCUCUUUAGUUAGUGUCUGCUUUUCAGUUGUGCAACUCUGGACGUGGCUAACUGUAGGCCUUUGCCUCUGUCACAUUAUUGCUUGUAUUAUUUUGGUAGAGAGGAUGCAGUAUAAUUGGCCCAGAAGUGAGCCACAAUAUUGAUGGCACAGAGACAAACCAGAUACUGGCAUACAGUAAAAACCAAUUAAUAGCAACAACUGUGCCAUCCUGGCAAUAGCAACAAAAUCAGCAGCAGUAAUAGAUUCAAAGACAGACUGGAUGUUGACAUACCAUAAAAACCAAUAGAAGUUACUGCUGUACUACCCUUAACCAUAAACAAGAAAUCUAUAAAAAAAUUAAAUUAGAAACAAAGACAAAACAAAUACACACAGUAAAUGUCUACUUAAGGCAAUAACUGUUACCACCAUUAACAAUAAAAAUAAUUCAACAAUAGAAACAUGCUUUCACCCUAAAUUUCUAGAUAUUAAUAAACUUAAUAGCAAUGCUAGUAAAAAUGGAGUAGGUAGAGAACAGAAGAAUGAUAAACAUAAAAUUUGAAAAUAAAGAGGAGAGAAAGUGAUAUAAAGGACCUUAUUAAGGAAUAAAAGAAAUAAUAGAAUUUAAUAAAAAUAAUAAAAAGAAACAAACAAGAAAAAGAAGAUAAAAGAAAAAAAAAAAAAAACAGCAAGCAAAAGAAAUCAGAAACAAAAAGAAAAAGCCCAAAACUCUAAAGAAGAAAAAAAAAUAAGUGAGACAUGUAUUAAAAAAUUUGUAUUUUUAAGUGAGUGUUUCUAUCCAGGGUCUGCAGUAUUGAAAUUCACCAGAUAAGCAGGAGUAGUAGUGAGUCAUUGCUGAGAUCUGUUUUGUUUUCACAUGCAUGUUUUUGCGUGUGAAUGCUAGUUCCUGCCCUGCCUGAGAAGGUGUCUCACUGUGAGUGGUAGGUCAGUGACUUCUGCUUUAGGGGUGUAAUAAUUCUGAGCUGCCAUUCUGUAUUCCUUUGUGUGCCCCAAGUCAAGGCUUUUUCUACCUGACUUUAUGGCCUUAUCUUGGUGAUAUUCUUUCCAUUCUCCUUCUCCAGCAAGCCCUCUGUUUAUUCACCUUUGGUAGUGGAAACUGGCCAAGUUGAGCUGUGUCCCUGCUCACACUGGUAGAUGUGGACAGUAAAUGGACCACUGAGACCUGUGCUAGAUGUAGGCAGUGGGACAGAACUGCAAGCAGACUGCUGGACCAGUGCUGGCACUUUCAGACCCUCUCCCCUCAGAAAGCCACACAUGACUGGACUGGCUUUCACCACGGAAGGGGGACCCCUUUGUUCUUCCUGGGCUGUGGGUAAACUCUGGGUGUUCUUUGUCCAGCCUUCACCAUUGCUGGUACUGUCUCUUGUGGCUAUCUCCUACCCAGUCACUGUGACAGGACGACAGCAGAAACUCUAGAAUACAGUUGUUAAUAGUUUAGCUUUCUAGACUGCUUCAUUUUUUUCUCUGUGCUGUGCUCCAUUUCCCUGGCUUCUCUGUAGUUUUUAGUCUUCCUAUUAGUUCCCUUCCGAUUAUCAGGGAUCUUUUUUUUCCAAUCUUCACCAAGUUCUUAUUUUCAAGGUGUCUUGAUUCCAGGUCCUAGGACAAGUUGAUUUAUAUAUUUUUUUCAAGGAGAAUUGCUUCAUAUAUUUUGUAUUUGAUGAUUGUUUAAGAUAUAAAUGUAAAUUCAGAUUUUCUUAUAGAAGUUGCUACAAGAUAAAAAAUAGUUGGAAUGUUAUGAAAUGAGUUAAAAAAAACCUCUCAGUCUGUUAUCUAAAAUUAUUGUAUUAUUAUUCAACCUAUGUGAUCAACCUGGUCUCAUUUUCUUUGUUCAGACAUUAAAGGACAUCUACUCCAAAUUAAGUUAUAAACAUGUGAUAGUAUUGCUUAGAAGUCAUAAGAUGUCUGGCAUAUAAUAGACAUUCAAAUCACUAAGAGUUAACCACUUUAAAGAACAUUUUAAGAAAGGAAAAAAUUAGGUUGGGUCUGAAAGUUAAGUGAGGACGAAAUGGGGGAAAUGAAGUCUUUCUGGAUACCCGUGGGAAAUAUGAGCCCAGUCAUGAGUGAACAGAGUGUGGUCAGGGGACAAUUGGGAAACCUGUCUGGAUUUAAGAACGCCAGCUAGAGAAGAGUGGGUAAUAAAGAUUGGUACAUCUUUACAACAUACAACAAAUCAGUUUCUUUCCUUAAUAGUAAAUGAUAGGUAAUUUGGUUGCUUUUAUUUGAAAAUUAUUAAAAAUGAAUUCAUAAUUCUUAAAAAAGUAGGUAAAUUAACAAGUCCUUCUUUCUGCCUAUUUGAUCAUAUCCUUGGCAUACAACCUGUGUUAAUAAUUAGACAUCUGUUGCUCCAUCCGUUUCUUAUUGCUGAGAUAAAAUAUCCACUGGGAUGAAAUUUAAAGGAGGAGGGUUUAUUUUGGUUCACAGUUUCAAGCCAUGGAUGGUUGAUUGUAAGGCAGAAACAGGAUGGCAGAGAGGCAUGACAGAAGAACGGAUGUCACCUUACAACAACCAGAAAGCAGCAAGAGAAAGGAGGAGUUGAGGAGGGAGAAAUACUGUUGCAGGUCACGCCUCCAGUGACCACCCAGCCAGCAUCCGCUCCUCACAGCACUACUAGAAUCCACUGAUGAACAUACACCCCGGAAUCCAGCCACCUUCUACACAUCUGAGAGCUCUGGGGAACUUCUAGAUCUAAACUGUAAUACCUUCCUUUAUUCCACGCUUGUAUCAACAUGGGUAGUAAGCAGUCACACUUAUAGGGACACUUGUAUGUUAGGAAACCUUUAUGUUUUCAUAAACAGUAGUAUCUUAAACUUGUUAUUUUUUCAGUUGGCACUGGACGUUGUUCCUGGUUAGACUGUGUUGAUAUUUUUCCUUCUAUGUAAUAAAUGCUCAUAUCGCAGUACACGGCUAUAUGGUUUAUCUCUCCCUGAUUGUGGUGGUUUACAGUUUUCUUAUUUUUUGUUUAUUCACACAGUGCUGCGAUCAGCAUUCUUCUAUAUAUGCUUUUGUGUUCUCAAGCCAUUGAUAGUGAGCUAGGGCUCACUGCUCCAUUUACACAGAGACCAAUACUGUUUCAUCUAAUUUUUGCAGAAAAGAAAAAGUUUCAUUUUCCCUCCCUUCCCUUCCCCUUCUUUCCUUUGUUAUUCACCUCUGCCCCUCCUUGAGUUGUACUCCCAAACAUGACAAAACUUUUUAGUGAGAGCCACUCAUCAUUGAGACAGGAUAUUAAAAAUCUCAGAUCUGUCUCCCCUAUCAGUUAGUAUCAGGAAAUUUUUAAAAAGACAGAGAAGAGAAGCCACUGAUGGAUUGGCAAGAAAGGGAAAUUUUAGGGUUGUUUUGCAUAGGCCUAAUGAUCAUCAUGUCCCCCUUCAUAGGUCUCAUGUUUCUUUUGGGGGAGUUCACUAUAUUCUGUGUGUAAGAUUUUAUGCUUGUGAUGUCAGAAAAUCCUGAUCAGACAAGCUGAUUGGUUCUGCUUAUGUUCUUUCUUGGAAAUGUGGUUUCAGCCUGUCCUUAAGUAGAUUCUGGAGGUACUCUGUUGUCUAACAAAUUAUGUUUGGUGUGUUUAGACCUUAGCUGAUUUCGCUAUGAUGUUGGGCAAGAUUUUGUAUUUCUAAUUCUAAAUUUAAAAGUUUAUUGAAUAAUCCAAGUGAAUAAAAAUAACUUGCAGUUUCUGUUUCUGGUCCCUGGAUGGCUCUCUAUGACGAGGCUGAGCCUUCCAGUCCUGUUUUGCUUUUUGGCCUGCUUCCCUUCAGAUCACAAUUUUUUCCUUUUUAUGGGUAUAUUGCAAACAUGAGUGAUAAUGUUUCGUAUAUAAGGGAGAAUGACUAAUUUGGGUUGAAAAUAGUAUUUGUUACACUGGAAAGUCUAUUCACAGCAGACAUGCUGUGCAGUGGUACCUUGGUUCACAAACUUGCUUUGUUGCCAAGUUUCUGGAAGAGAUGCCUGCUUGUAUUUGUCACUUGAUGCAGAGUUCACAAGCAGAAACAAAAUUUUGCCAAAUGUUUUUGUUUGUGAACCAAAAUCUUUGCAAGCAAAAGUGUUUGUGAACUGCAGUACCACUGUAUUUGCAGCCAGCCACUACUGCACUUGGCUAAUCAUGCUCUUAAAAUAGGGUGAAAACUGAAAUUUUUAAUUAACUUAAAUUAUAACCAGUUCAGCUAUUGGAAUACAUAUAAAUGUGUUUGGGAUAAUUGAACUAGUGAAUCUACCUUUAUGAUUGCAUAUUUUGUGAAAUCUAAAUGUAGAUCAAAUACUGCUGAAGAAAAUUUGCAUCUAGGUUGGGAUGUGUUGUGAGUGUAAAAAAUACACAGGAUUUUGAAGCUUUAGAGUGAGAAAAUGUAAGAGUCUUAAUUUUAAAAUAUUGAUUGUAUGUUAACUAAUAUUUGAGACAUUUGUUUAAAUAAAAUAUAUUCAAAUGAA